GUUGUAGCAAACACUGUGUCAUUGCCGGGAAGUGGUAGCUCAGUGGUUAAGAUGUUGGACUUCUGCUCGGAA